rnacentral:rRNA from 1 species
GUCUACCGGCAUGCCACCCUGAGUAUACCUAAUCUUGUCUGGUCUCAGAAACUAAGCAGGAUUGGGCUGAGCACUAUUUGGAUGGGAAGAAACUCAUUCCUGUUGCAA